AGAGUUUGAUCCUGGCUCAGGAUGAACGCUAGCUACAGGCUUAACACAUGCAAGUCGAGGGGCAGCAUUGGAGUAGCAAUACUUCAGAUGGCGACCGGCGCACGGGUGAGUAACACGUAUCCAACCUGCCGCUUACUCGGGGAUAGCCUUUCGAAAGAAAGAUUAAUACCCGAUGGUAUAAAGAGUUCGCAUGUUCUCUUUAUUAAAGAAUUUCGGUAAGCGAUGGGGAUGCGUUCCAUUAGAUUGUUGGCGGGGUAACGGCCCACCAAGUCUACGAUGGAUAGGGGUUCUGAGAGGAAGGUCCCCCACAUUGGAACUGAGACACGGUCCAAACUCCUACGGGAGGCAGCAGUGAGGAAUAUUGGUCAAUGGACGAGAGUCUGAACCAGCCAAAAGUAGCGUGAAGGAUGACUGCCCUAUGGGUUGUAAACUUCUUUUAUAAGGGAAUAAAGUGAGGGACGUGUCCCUUUUUGUAUGUACCUUAUGAAUAAGGAUCGGCUAACUCCGUGCCAGCCGCCGC
rnacentral:rRNA from 1 species